rnacentral:tRNA from 1 species
GCGAGGAUGGCGGAACAGGCAGACGCACUGGAUUUAGGAUCCAGCCCCUUACGGGAUGGGGGUUCAACUCCCCCUCCUCGCA